rnacentral:rRNA from 1 species
UACGUAGGGUGCAAGCGUUAAUCGGAAUUACUGGGCGUAAAGCGUGCGCAGGCGGUCGUGUAAGACAGAUGUGAAAUCCCCGGGCUCAACCUGGGAACUGCAUUUGUGACUGCACGGCUGGAGUGCGGCAGAGGGGGAUGGAAUUCCGCGUGUAGCAGUGAAAUGCGUAGAUAUGCGGAGGAACACCGAUGGCGAAGGCAAUCCCCUGGGCCUGCACUGACGCUCAUGCACGAAAGCGUGGGGAGCAAACAGG